rnacentral:rRNA from 1 species
UGCCUACGGGGCGCAGCAGUGGGGAAUAUUGCACAAUGGGGGAAACCCUGAUGCAGCGACGCCGCGUGAGUGAAGAAGUAUCUCGGUAUGUAAAGCUCUAUCAGCAGGGAAGAAAAUGACGGUACCUGACUAAGAAGCCCCGGCUAACUACGUGCCAGCAGCCGCGGUAAUACGUAGGGGGCAAGCGUUAUCCGGAUUUACUGGGUGUAAAGGGAGCGUAGAAGGCGCUGCAAGUCCGGAGUGAAAGCCCAUGGCUUAACCAUGGUACUGCUCCGGACACUGUGGAGCUUGAGGGCGGGAGGGGG